CAAAGUCAACAAUCAAGAGAAGACUUCACCAGAGUGAAUACAGAGGGUUCACCACAAGAUGUAAACCAUUGGUGAGCCUCAAAAACAGGAAGGCCAGAUUAGAGUUUGCCAAACAACAUCUCAAAAAAGCCUUCACAGUUCUGGAACAACAUCCAAUGGACAGAUGAGACCAAGAUCAACUUGUACCAGAGUGAUGGGAAGAGAAGAGUAUGGAG